UACGGAGGGUGCAAGCGUUGUCCGGAAUUAUUGGGCGUAAAGCGCACGUAGGCGGUUCUUUAAGUCUCAUGGUGAAAGGCUGGGGCUCAACCCCAAGCAAGCCGGGGAUACUGGAGGACUGGAGACAGGCAGAGGCCAGCGGAAUUCCGGGUGUAGCGGUGGAAUGCGUAGAGAUCCGGAAGAACACCGGAGGCGAAGGCGACUGGCUGGGCCUGAUCUGACGCUGAGGUGCGAAAGCGUGGGGAGCGAACAGG
rnacentral:rRNA from 1 species